rnacentral:antisense_RNA from 1 species
UGUAGGAGCGGGCUUGCUCGCGAACGCGGAGUGUCAGGCACCGGGAUGCUGACUGAUAUACCGCUUUCGCGAGCAAGCCCGCUCCCACA